AUGCCCCUGGACUUCACCAAGCACUUCGUCGCGGUGCCGACGGAGUUCAAGCUCAGGAACAACACCGACUGCUCCUGGAAGGUGACGGUCAAGCUGAUGAACGACAGGGUGACCCUGGAUCAGGGUUGGACCACAUACGCAGCAGUUCAUCAGAUCAAGAUCGGCUACAUGGUGACGUUCAAGCUCCUCACUCUCGACACCCUCAAGGUCAUCAUCUUCGACGACGAUGGCAUUGAGGUCGUCAACAAGUGUGGGAAGCACGACGAAGCUUUCGCCGCCAAGGAGUAG
rnacentral:rRNA from 1 species